UCGGGAUAUUUAUGAAGUAGAGGAAAGAGGGGAUAUUGCUUCUCAAGAUAUGGACGAUGGGGAAAAAGCUUUAGUUAGAGAAAUGUGUAAUGUUGUAUGGAGAAAAUUAGAAGAGGCACCCCCUCCACCAAGACGAUAACGCUAACAGUAAAUUAAUAUUUUUCCAGGAUUCAUAAAUUCUUGCCUUUUGGUGUAUAUAUUGAACGUUCAAAGUACGCAAAGUACACUUAUUUAUACGUUUAUUUUUAUAAAGUAUUUAAAUAAAAUAUUUUAAGCUC